rnacentral:lncRNA from 1 species
AUUCCUGCUUCCUGCUGGGGGAGGCUAAGGGAGGGGCGCAAAGGUGCUGGUGGGCAGAGGGAAGGUGUCAAGGGGGUGGUGUGCCCCCUGCCAUCUGCAAUCGUGUACUUAAAGGGAGGAGGACUGGCGCAUUCCAACAAUUUGGGCUCUCACUGCUUGAGCAAACCCUGGUGUGCAUUUGGCCUCAGGGCCUGGAAGACGACAGUUCAAGAAACCACAGGACUCCAGCAAUGAGCUGCUCCCCUUGCUGUGUGUGUGUGUGUGUGUGUGUGUGUGUGUGUGUGUAGGGUGAGGGAUGGCAAGUAGGAAAGGAAUUCCAGGAAGAAUAAAGUGCAUGUGCAAAGGCCCUGGGGCAGGAGGAGCCUUGGCUGCUGGAGGAAGCAUAAGAAAGCUGAGGUGUCGGCUGGGCACAGUGGCUCAUGCCUGUAAUCCCAGCAGUUUGGGGGGCUGAGACGGGUAGAUCAGGAGUUCGUGACCAGCCUGGCCAACAUGGCAAAACCCCGUCUCUACUAAAAAUACAAAAAUUAACCAGGCGUGGUGGUACAUGCCUGUAGUCCCAGCUACCCGGGAGGCUGAGGCAGGAGAAUCACUUAAAUCCAGGAGGUGGAGGUUGCAGUAAGCUGAGAUUGUGCCACUGCACUCCAGUCUGGGUGACAGAGUGAGACUACGUCUUGAAAAAAAAAAAAGAGAGAAAAAAAAGAAAGCUGAGGUGUCUGGACCUGAGCCGGGAAAGGUGAGGACAGGAUAGGCCCUGCAGGGCCCUGGACCGUGUUAAGCAGUUUGGUUUUUAGCCUAAGAGCAAUGGCAUUUAUG